rnacentral:rRNA from 1 species
CUGCUGCCUCCCGUAGGAGUCUGGUCCGUGCCUCAGUACCAGUGUGGGGGACCUUCCUCUCAGAACCCCUACGCAUCGUCGCCUCGGUGGGCCGUUACCCCGCCGACUAGCUAAUGCGACGCAUGGCCAUCCUAUGCCGGAGUCGCCUCCUUUGACCACCUGGAGAUGUCUCCAAAUGGUGUUAUGCGGUAUUAGACGGAAUUUCUUCCGCUUAUCCCCCUGCAUAGGGCAGGUUCCAUACGUGUUACUCACCCGUGCG